rnacentral:rRNA from 1 species
UUUUAGUGGCGAACGGGUGAGUAACGCGUGGGCAACCUGCCCUUCAGACGGGGACAACAUUCCGAAAGGAGUGCUAAUACCGGAUACGACCUUUAGACCGCAUGGUUUAAAGAAGAAAGGUGGCCUCUAUUUAUAAGCUACCGCUGAAGGAUGGGCCUGCGUCUGAUUAGCUAGUUGGUGGGGUAAAGGCCUACCAAGGCGACGAUCAGUAGCCGGUCUGAGAGGAUGAACGGCCACACUGGGACUGAGACACGGCCCAGACUCCUACGGGAGGCAGCAGUGGGGAAUCUUCCGCAAUGGGCGAAAGCCUGACGGAGCAACGCCGCGUGAGUGAAGAAGGUCUUCGGAUUGUAAAGCUCUGUUUAAAGGGACGAAUGGCAGAUUUGUGAAUAAUGAAUUUGCAUGACGGUACCUUUGGAGGAAGCCACGGCUAACUACGUGCCAGCAGCCGCGGUAAUACGUAGGUGGCAAGCGUUGUCCGGAAUCAUUGGGCGUAAAGCGCGCGUAGGCGGGUAAGUAAGUCUGUUGUGAAACUGCGGGGCUCAACCCCGUAUUGCAAUGGAAACU